rnacentral:sRNA from 1 species
GUUUUUUUGUAUUUUU